GUGUUUGCUCCAGGAGUGCAUAUACUAAAACUGGAACAGAGAAGAUUAAUAUGGUCCCUGUGCAAAGUUGAGACACAAAUUUGUCAAGUAUUCUGUAUUUUC